GACGAACGCUGGCGUCGUGCUUAACACAUGCAAGUCGAACGGAAAGGCCCUGCUUUUGUGGUGUGCUCGAGUGGCGAACGGGUGUGUAACACGUGAGUAACCUGCCCUUGACUUUGGGAUAACUUCAGGAAACUGGGGCUAAUACCGGAUAGGAGCUCCUGCUGCAUGGUGGGGGUUGGAAAGUUUCGGCGGUUGGGGAUGGACUCGCGGCUUAUCAGCUUGUUGGUGGGGUAGUGGCUUACCAAGGCUUUGAGGGGUAGCCGGCCUGAGAGGGUGACCGGACACAUGGGGAGAGAGAUACGGCCGAGACUCAUACGGGAGAGAGGAGUGGGAAAUAGUGCAAAGGGGGCGGAAGCGAGAUGGAGAAACGCCGCGUGGGGGAUGACGGCCUUGGGGUGGUAAACCGCUUUCGCGUGUGACGAAGCGUGAGGGACGGUAAUGGAGAAGGAAGCACGGGCGAACUACGG
rnacentral:rRNA from 1 species